rnacentral:rRNA from 1 species
CAGUCGCCGCGGGAAUACGAAGGGUGCAAGCGUUAAUCGGAAUUACUGGGCGUAAAGCGUGCGUAGGCGGUUGGUUAAGUCUGCUGUGAAAUCCCCGGGCUCAACCUGGGAAUGGCAGUGGAUACUGGCAAGCUAGAGUGUGUCAGAGGAUGGUGGAAUUCCCGGUGUAGCGGUGAAAUGCGUAGAGAUCGGGAGGAACAUCAGUGGCGAAGGCGGCCAUCUGGGACAACACUGACGCUGAGGCACGAAAGCGUGGGGAGCAAACAGGAUUAGAUACCCCAGUAGUCCCUGUCUCUUAUAC